rnacentral:tRNA from 1 species
UUAGUCAAAGCCAAAAAGAGGCACACCACUGUUAAUGGUUGAAGUGGAAAUAUUAUUCCUGACUAAA